rnacentral:snoRNA from 1 species
GGCCUCUCUCCCGUGGAGCUGAAGAGAAAAGUUCUCUUCAGCUGGGACUGGAGCCCAAGAUGAACUCUUGAGGGUUGUUUUCAGGGCUGCCAUGAGCUGGGCAGCCGUGUUUUCCUACCUCAGACACUC